AUUGAACGCUGGCGGCAUGCCUUACACAUGCAAGUCGAACGGCAGCACGGGAGCAAUCCUGGUGGCGAGUGGCGAACGGGUGAGUAAUAUAUCGGAACGUGCCCAGUCGUGGGGAUAACGUAGCGAAAGCUACGCUAAUACCGCAUACGAUCUAUGGAUGAAAGCGGGGGAUCGCAAGACCUCGCGCGAUUGGAGCGGCCGAUAUCAGAUUAGGUAGUUGGUGAGGUAAAGGCUCACCAAGCCGACGAUCUGUAGCUGGUCUGAGAGGACGACCAGCCACACUGGGACUGAGACACGGCCCAGACUCCUACGGGAGGCAGCAGUGGGGAAUUUUGGACAAUGGGCGCAAGCCUGAUCCAGCAAUGCCGCGUGCAGGAUGAAGGCCUCGG
rnacentral:rRNA from 1 species